rnacentral:rRNA from 1 species
UUAAGCGACUAAGCGUACACGGUGGAUGCCCUGGCAGUCAGAGGCGAUGAAGGACGUGCUAAUCUGCGAUAAGCGUCGGUAAGGUGAUAUGAACCGUUAUAACCGGCGAUUUCCGAAUGGGGAAACCCAGUGUGUUUCGACACACUAUCAUUAACUGAAUCCAUAGGUUAAUGAGGCGAACCGGGGGAACUGAAACAUCUAAGUACCCCGAGGAAAAGAAAUCAACCGAGAUUCCCCCAGUAGCGGCGAGCGAACGGGGAGCAGCCCAGAGCCUGAAUCAGUGUGUGUGUUAGUGGAAGCGUCUGGAAAGGCGCGCGAUACAGGGUGACAGCCCCGUACACAAAAAUGCACAUGCUGUGAGCUCGAUGAGUAGGGCGGGACACGUGGUAUCCUGUCUGAAUAUGGGGGGACCAUCCUCCAAGGCUAAAUACUCCUGACUGACCGAUAGUGAACCAGUACCGUGAGGGAAAGGCGAAAAGAACCCCGGCGAGGGGAGUGAAAAAGAACCUGAAACCGUGUACGUACAAGCAGUGGGAGCCUCUUUUAUGGGGUGACUGCGUACCUUUUGUAUAAUGGGUCAGCGACUUAUAUUCUGUAGCAAGGUUAACCGAAUGGGGGAGCCGAAGGGAAACCGAGUCUUAACUGGGCGUUAAGUUGCAGGGUAUAGACCCGAAACCCGGUGAUCUAGCCAUGGGCAGGUUGAAGGUUGGGUAACACUAACUGGAGGACCGAACCGACUAAUGUUGAAAAAUUAGCGGAUGACUUGUGGCUGGGGGUGAAAGGCCAAUCAAACCGGGAGAUAGCUGGUUCUCCCCGAAAGCUAUUUAGGUAGCGCCUCGUGAAUUCAUCUCCGGGGGUAGAGCACUGUUUCGGCAAGGGGGUCAUCCCGACUUACCAACCCGAUGCAAACUGCGAAUACCGGAGAAUGUUAUCACGGGAGACACACGGCGGGUGCUAACGUCCGUCGUGAAGAGGGAAACAACCCAGACCGCCAGCUAAGGUCCCAAAGUCAUGGUUAAGUGGGAAACGAUGUGGGAAGGCCCAGACAGCCAGGAUGUUGGCUUAGAAGCAGCCAUCAUUUAAAGAAAGCGUAAUAGCUCACUGGUCGAGUCGGCCUGCGCGGAAGAUGUAACGGGGCUAAACCAUGCACCGAAGCUGCGGCAGCGACGCUUAUGCGUUGUUGGGUAGGGGAGCGUUCUGUAAGCCUGUGAAGGUGUACUGUGAGGUAUGCUGGAGGUAUCAGAAGUGCGAAUGCUGACAUAAGUAACGAUAAAGCGGGUGAAAAGCCCGCUCGCCGGAAGACCAAGGGUUCCUGUCCAACGUUAAUCGGGGCAGGGUGAGUCGACCCCUAAGGCGAGGCCGAAAGGCGUAGUCGAUGGGAAACAGGUUAAUAUUCCUGUACUUGGUGUUACUGCGAAGGGGGGACGGAGAAGGCUAUGUUGGCCGGGCGACGGUUGUCCCGGUUUAAGCGUGUAGGCUGGUUUUCCAGGCAAAUCCGGAAAAUCAAGGCUGAGGCGUGAUGACGAGGCACUACGGUGCUGAAGCAACAAAUGCCCUGCUUCCAGGAAAAGCCUCUAAGCAUCAGGUAACAUCAAAUCGUACCCCAAACCGACACAGGUGGUCAGGUAGAGAAUACCAAGGCGCUUGAGAGAACUCGGGUGAAGGAACUAGGCAAAAUGGUGCCGUAACUUCGGGAGAAGGCACGCUGAUGCGUAGGUGAAGUCCCUUGCGGAUGGAGCUGAAAUCAGUCGAAGAUACCAGCUGGCUGCAACUGUUUAUUAAAAACACAGCACUGUGCAAACACGAAAGUGGACGUAUACGGUGUGACGCCUGCCCGGUGCCGGAAGGUUAAUUGAUGGGGUUAGCGGUAACGCGAAGCUCUUGAUCGAAGCCCCGGUAAACGGCGGCCGUAACUAUAACGGUCCUAAGGUAGCGAAAUUCCUUGUCGGGU